rnacentral:rRNA from 1 species
GAGUUUGAUCGUGGCUCAGGAUGAACGCUGGCGGCGUGCUUAACACAUGCAAGUCGAACGGAGUGCUCCGGAAAGAGAUUUCGGUCAAUGGAUGGAGUUACUUAGUGGCGGACGGGUGAGUAACGCGUGAGGAACCUGCCUUUCAGAGGGGGACAACAGUUGGAAACGACUGCUAAUACCGCAUAACGCAUGGGUAUCGCAUGGUAUCUGUGCCAAAAGAUUUAUCGCUCUGGAGAUGGCCUCGCGUCUGAUUAGCUAGUUGGUGGGGCAACGGCCCACCAAGGCGACGAUCAGUAGCCGGACUGAGAGGUUGACCGGCCACAUUGGGACUGAGACACGGCCCAGACUCCUACGGGAGGCAGCAGUGGGGAAUAUUGGGCAAUGGGCGCAAGCCUGACCCAGCAACGCCGCGUGAAGGAAGAAGGCUUUCGGGUUGUUAAACUUCUUUUAUGAGGGACGAAAGAAAUGACGGUACCUCAUGAAUAAGCCACGGCUAACUACGUGCCAGCCGCCGCAGU